rnacentral:rRNA from 1 species
UUGGAGGGCAAGUCUGGUGCCAGCAGCCGCGGUAAUUCCAGCUCCAAUAGCGUAUAUUAAAGUUGUUGCAGUUAAAAAGCUCGUAGUUGAAUUUCGGGAUCAAUAUUUCGGUCAUGCUGUUGGUAUGCACUGUUAUCAUCGAUUUCUCACCUUCUAAAGAACCGUAAUGCCAUUAAUUUGGUGUUACGGGGAAUUAGGACUGUUACCUUGAAAAAAUUAGAGUGUUUAAAGCAGGCUCACGCUUGAAUACAUUAGCAUGGAAUAAUGAAAUAGGACAUCCGAUUCUAUUUUGUUGGUUUCUAGGAUCGAUGUAAUGAUUAAUAGGGAUAGUUGGGGGCAUUAGUAUUCAAUUGUCAGAGGUGAAAUUCUUGGAUUUAUUGAAGACUAACUACUGCGAAAGCAUUUGCCAAGGAUGUUUUCAUUAAUCAAGAACGAAAGUUAGGGGAUCGAAGACGAUCAGAUACCGUCGUAGUCUUAACCAUAAACUAUGCCGACUAGGGAUCGGAUGAUGUUAAUUUUUUAAUGACUCAUUCGGCGCCUUACGGGAAACCAAAGUGUUUGGGUUC